AAGAAGCAGAAGCCUUACAGAACCAACCUAAAUUGGUAGAAUUAAGGAAGUUUUUAGUUCCGCUGCUAAUGCUGAGAUAUAUGGAAAGCUUGCAUUUUUCAACCACCUUUGGCAAUUUGCUCCCAGCGAUUCAACAUCUCCCUGGUAGACACCUUUGGCAGCGGGCCGCUGGAUGCUGCGCCGAGGACGACGGUAAGAGCCGAGGACAUCAGCUCUCCGAGCGAGACUGUGGGCGUUUCCUGACUUUGCUGCUAGACUGCGUUGUAUCCAUCCUGUUUUAGAUCCCUCUAUCUUGCCAUCAACUCUGACCAGCGUCCCUGUCCUUGCCAAAGAAAAGCACCCGGGAUGCUCCCAUCACUGUGUGCUCAGGGUAAUCUGAAGGGUUAGUAUUGCCAUCAUAGAGUUUUGCAAGUUGGCCAAAA